rnacentral:rRNA from 1 species
GGCUGAGGCGUGAUGACGAGGCACUACGGUGCUGAAGCAACAAAUGCCCUGCUUCCAGGAAAAGCCUCUAAGCAUCAGGUAACAUCAAAUCGUACCCCAAACCGACACAGGUGGUCAGGUAGAGAAUACCAAGGCGCUUGAGAGAACUCGGGUGAAGGAACUAGGCAAAAUGGUGCCGUAACUUCGGGAGAAGGCACGCUGAUAUGUAGGUGAAGUCCCUCGCGGAUGGAGCUGAAAUCAGUCGAAGAUACCAGCUGGCUGCAACUGUUUAUUAAAAACACAGCACUGUGCAAACACGAAAGUGGACGUAUACGGUGUGACGCCUGCCCGGUGCCGGAAGGUUAAUUGAUGGGGUUAGCGCAAGCGAAGCUCUUGAUCGAAGCCCCGGUAAACGGCGGCCGUAACUAUAACGGUCCUAAGGUAGCGAAAUUCCUUGUCGGGUAAGUUCCGACCUGCACGAAUGGCGUAAUGAUGGCCAGGCUGUCUCCACCCGAGACUCAGUGAAAUUGAACUCGCUGUGAAGAUGCAGUGUACCCGCGGCAAGACGGAAAGACCCCGUGAACCUUUACUAUAGCUUGACACUGAACAUUGAGCCUUGAUGUGUAGGAUAGGUGGGAGGCUUUGAAGUGUGGACGCCAGUCUGCAUGGAGCCGACCUUGAAAUACCACCCUUUAAUGUUUGAUGUUCUAACGUGGACCCGUAAUCCGGGUUGCGGACAGUGUCUGGUGGGUAGUUUGACUGGGGCGGUCUCCUCCUAAAGAGUAACGGAGGAGCACGAAGGUUGGCUAAUCCUGGUCGGACAUCAGGAGGUUAGUGCAAUGGCAUAAGCCAGCUUGACUGCGAGCGUGACGGCGCGAGCAGGUGCGAAAGCAGGUCAUAGUGAUCCGGUGGUUCUGAAUGGAAGGGCCAUCGCUCAACGGAUAAAAGGUACUCCGGGGAUAACAGGCUGAUACCGCCCAAGAGUUCAUAUCGACGGCGGUGUUUGGCACCUCGAUGUCGGCUCAUCACAUCCUGGGGCUGAAGUAGGUCCCAAGGGUAUGGCUGUUCGCCAUUUAAAGUGGUACGCGAGCUGGGUUUAGAACGUCGUGAGACAGUUCGGUCCCUAUCUGCCGUGGGCGCUGGAGAACUGAGGGGGGCUGCUCCUAGUACGAGAGGACCGGAGUGGACGCAUCACUGGUGUUCGGGUUGUCAUGCCAAUGGCACUGCCCGGUAGCUAAAUGCGGAAGAGAUAAGUGCUGAAAGCAUCUAAGCACGAAACUUGCC